rnacentral:rRNA from 1 species
AGACGGAGGGUGCUAGCGUUGUUCGGAAUCAUUGGGCGUAAAGGGCGUGUAGGCGGUUCGUUAAGUCAUGCGUGAAAGCCCUCGGCUUAACCGAGGAAGGGCGUAUGAUACUGGCGAGCUAGAGUGCGGAAGAGGGGGGUGGAAUUCCAGGUGUAGCGGUGAAAUGCGUAGAUAUCUGGAGGAACACCGGUGGCGAAGGCGACCCCCUGGUCCGACACUGACGCUGAGACGCGAAAGCGUGGGUAGCAAACAGGAUUAGAAACCCCGGUAGUCC